rnacentral:tRNA from 1 species
AAGGAUUUAGGUUAAACUAAACCAAGGACCUUCAAAGCCCUAAAUAGAUAAUUAUAUCUAAGCCUUA